rnacentral:lncRNA from 1 species
CCCAUUGUCCGAGUCCAGUGUUUUUUACUGUUGGGCAAGCAAAUUUGUAUAUCACACUGUACCGGUGUCCAGUUGACUUUCCAAUGUUAAUUAUGUUGUUUAUUUAAAAAAUUCAACACAAGAACGGCCGUAUAGUGGAAAAAUUUCAGGGCCAGUGAUUUCACAUGUGCCACUGUACCGGAGUACACUAGUAAUUUUAAAGUUAUUUCCACCCCUGUUUACUCAUGGAAGUGAACAAGA